rnacentral:lncRNA from 1 species
AGCCUUCCUAAGAAAGCAACAACUUGUUAUUGACACUAAGGCUGGCCACUUGGAAAUGAAUUACUCAACGCAUGUCAAGUUGAAGAUGGAUUAUGUUUCUUGGCCCCAGAGGGCAGAAUUAAGAACUAUAGAAUGAAAUUUGGCUCAAUGUAGCUUCUUCCAUAUGGCUCCACAGAGUCCUACGCUUCCUGGCCUUUCCCUUGUGCCCUUCCCAGCUAGCAUGCCCUGUGCCAAAAUCAUUAUUGUUGACUCAUGUUCAAGAAUGCCCAUUCUACGUCACUAUCACCCCAAAAUGUAGCAAGCAAAUCCAGCAAGGCUUCUGCUCCCACAAGGCUUCAGCGGUUGCCUCACUGUACUGUGUCAGAGGACAGCUGGGCAGUGCAGUCACUCCCCUGCUAGAUAGCAGCAGUGAAAAUGCUGAUGAAACUCUCAUUCCAAUAAAAAGACAAAGAAAAAUAUGUUGCUGCUUCUUGGCUACCCUUGGGUCUCGAUCUUGCUUUGUUUCUGGAAAAUGAAGUUUUGCCAUAACACAACUAGCUGGAGCACAAGAUUUUCUUACUUUUUCUGAUCUACAAGCAACAGACUGGUUUGAAGUAGCCUGAAG